AGCUUCUUUACAGUGCUGCCUUGUAGCAUU
rnacentral:ncRNA from 2 species